GGGAAACUGGAAUAUUAAAGUGGGAAUGGAUCCAGUUAGGUUUCCCUUUGAGAAGUUAAUUAGUAAUUUGCAAUAAAUUAGAAUGCUGUAAAAGAAGUUCAAAAUCCAGGACCUUUGGUCUGCUAAGGCAAGAAAAAUCAAAACUGAAAACUGGCCGAUCUGUACAAGGACUUGGGAGACGCAAGAGGAGAAGGCUGACCCUGGACUCUCGCUGGGAGAGGAAUCCCACAUCAUGUUGACUUCCAAUGCCCUCUGGCCUCUGCUUAUUUGGCUGUCCAUCCGCUGGCUGACCGUGCAAGCAACGAUGGAGCCCAAUUGCACUCAUGUUGCUGACUUCGGUAGCUGUCUAGGCAACGAUGCACUGGACUUCUGCCCCCAUGGGAUCAGCUGUGGCUGCAAAGACCAAAAGCCCUUCUGCAACUGCCCUUCUUACCAAAAAGGCUGGCAAAAUUAUUGGUACCUCGGUCCCAAAUGUGAGCAGCUUUGGAGUACCUUGGACCUGAUUAUCGUCGUCGUUCUGCCUGCAAUAGCCCUGUCUGUGACCAGUGCCGUGGCAGUGCAGUGGGUCAACUACUGCAAAAACAAGGAGGGAAGAGGCGUAAAACGACGCAGUGCUCCUCCAAGAGAACAUACCCCUCGAGGACAACCUAACACGGCAUACGUUCCUAAACCAGUUGAUAGAUAUGUACCACAACCACAGGGAAGAAAGGAUGAUGGCAUCACUCAAAAUUUUAAAUUCCCCAAACUGUCAACCCAAAACAAUGCUUAUGACCAAACUGAGUCACCGCACUUUGGAGGUUUCAGCUAUGCUCCACAUCAGCCGCUGAGAAGAGCUGUUCAAAUGGGAAAUAAUCAUCGUUUUCCGGGCCCGCCUCCUCAACGCAGCAAUGUGGACAACUAUGAGGAUUACGAGGAAGAAAACCCAUUUACAGCUAUGGCUAUGCAACCAUUUCCAACAUCAGGUUCCUCGGGGUUUCCUCGGCCCGACUACAAUGAGCCAAACCAUUACCCGAACGGGGCAAGGAACCCGUACAGCUUUGGGCGCCCUCAGAUUAAAUAUACCUAAAAGAUAGGGAUGGAUACAACCAACGCACAGGACUUGGGACCUUCACCAUUCGUUUUCCAACUGUUGAUCUUCUCCUACUUUCUUCCUAAACGUGAUUGUAAGGCUACCUGUCCAUACCCUAAAAAACUAAAAAAAAAAACCUAGAUAUCCUUGCCUCCUUUAAUAAAAUGCUAGCAUAAGAUU